rnacentral:tRNA from 1 species
GGCCAUAGCUCAGUGGCAGAGCACCUGCUUUGCAUGCUGAAUGUCCCAGGUUCAAUCCCUGGCAUCUCCC